GAUGAAGAACGCAGCGAAAUGCGAUAAGUAAUGUGAAUUGCAGAAUUCAGUGAAUCAUCGAAUCUUUGAACGCACAUUGCGCCCGCCAGUAUUCUGGCGGGCAUGCCUGUUCGAGCGUCAUUUCAACCCUCAAGCACAGCUUGGUGUUGGGACUCGCGUUAAUUCGCGUUCCCCAAAUUGAUUGGCGGUCACGUCGAGCUUCCAUAGCGUAGUAGUAAAACCCUCGUUACUGGUAAUCGUCGCGGCCACGCCGUUAAACCCCAACUUCUGAAUGUUGACCUCGGAUCAGGUAGGAAUACCCGCUGAACUUAAGCAUAUCAAUAAGCGGAGA
rnacentral:misc_RNA from 1 species